rnacentral:Y_RNA from 1 species
UGCUGGUCUGAUGGUCGUGGGUUAUCAGAACUUAUUAACAUUAGUGUCACUAAAGUUGGUAUACACCCUCUACUGUUACAUUUGACUGGCUUAA